GAUGAAGAACGUAGCGAAAUGCGAUAAGUAAUGUGAAUUGCAGAAUUCAGUGAAUCAUCGAAUCUUUGAACGCACAUUGCGCCCCUUGGUAUUCCGAGGGGCAUGCCUGUUCGAGCGUCAUUAUAACCCCUCAAGCUCAGCUUGGUGUUGGGGCCUGCUGCACUGGCAGCCCUUAAAAUCAGUGGCGGCGCCAUCUGGCUCUAAGCGUAGUAAUUCUUCUCGCUAUGGAGUCCUGGUGGAUGCUUGCCAUCAACCCCCAAUUUUUCUAUGGUUGACCUCGCAUCAGGUAGGGAUACCCGCUGAACUUAAGCAUAUCAAUAAGCGGAGGA
rnacentral:misc_RNA from 1 species